UUCAAGUUUUCUGCAAUUUCCUUGCUGUUAAGAUAUAAUUUCAGCAUUCUGUAACUUUUGGUUUGUAGGAUAUAUACCCCUUAACCUCAAUUAUCAUGGUCUUGGUUGGUAACCGCUCCAUAUACAGUAAUUAGACGUGAAUUAUGAACCAAAAUUGGUUGUUGCAGUGGUGUUUUCAAACUAAUGAAUUAUUAAACCCACUUUAAAGAACCCGAGUAACAGCUUUGAAUGUUCACUAAUCUUAUGAUUUUCUCAUAAUAAGUAUAUGAGCUAUCUAAAGAUAUAAGUUAGUUAAUUGUUUUAAUUCAAUAAUUGUAAUAUUUAUUAAUAAAUGAUUAUCACUUACUUUCUUUUGUCCAUAUUAAGAGUUAUAGGUAACAGUGAUGCAAAGUUUGAGUUGGAGGAUUUGUUUCUUUGAAAUUUUAAGAAAAUCUAGGCACUGAUUGGUUAGAAAAUAAUGGGUGGAAUCGUUAUUGGCUUAAUAAAGUUGUUAACCAAAAGCAAUUAGCAAUUAUUCUAUUAUUGGCAGUGGCGCUAUGCCUCUGCAUAUUUGAAAUUAUUUUCUAAUUGUGCAGUAAGCAUCGUAAUGAUAGCGAUGUUAUGAUCAUAUUAAGAUAAGAGAUGUAUUUGGGGUAGAUAGUUAACUAUUAGUUCUACAUCUUAAAUUUUUUUGAAAUGGAAUUUGAUUCGGCCUUUAAAUUGAAAAUAAAUAUGAUACUAUGGAUGUGAUUGAGACCGUAAUCUUAAGGAGGUUAUGUAUUUGAAACAGAUCUUGUCCAUUCGGAAGCUUUACGUAAGAGCAAGUUUAUUAAUUAACGCUUGACCUCGGGUUCAGGCAAGUUGAGACUUUCCUUAGACUCUUUUUCAAUGUGUUUAUUUGAAUAUUUGUUAGUUAUGUGUAAUGGGAGUAAUGAGAAUUGGGUGGCCCGUAUGGAUGAUUGUGACGGGCAUUUAUGCGGGUACCGGUGUUAUUUGAGGGGAUAAAAUCAGUUAAUUGUAUGUUUAAAAUGUUUUUCCCUAUUUGUUAGCCUGAUGGAUUGAUUUAUUAUGGUGAUUAUUUAAAAAGCUAGUGAUGAUGAUACCCUCACUUGAUAAAUUAGUUGAUUUUGAAAUGGAUGUCUGAUUUGACUUGGGACCAGAGUUGCACGCCUGCACAUUAUGCAUUGCAUUUCAUAUGGGAUCGGAGUGCACGCCUGCACAGUAUUAUAUAUAUUUAUGGGAUCGGAGUGCACGCCUGCACAAUAUAUAUAUUUAUGGGACCGGAGAGCACGCCUGCACAAUAUAUUAUAUAUUUAUGGGGUCGGAGUGUACUCCUGCAUAGUAUACUAUAUAUUUAUGAGAUCGGAGUGCACGCCUGCACAGUAUUAUAUAUAUUUAUGGGAUCGGAGUGCACGCCUGCACAAUAUAUUAUAUAUUUAUGGGAUCGGAGUGCACUCCUGCACAGUAUAUUAUAUAUUUAUGAGAUUGAAGUGCACACCUGCACAGUAUUAUAUAUAUAUUUAUGGGAUCAGAGUGCACGCCUGAAUAGUAUAUUCUAUAUUUAUGGGAUCGGAGUGCACGCUUGCAUAGUAUAUAUAUAUGGGAUCGGAGUGCAAGCCUGCAGAGUAUAUACAUUUGCAUUGCAUUGUAUCACACUGCAUUGAUUUGCUUGCUUCAGAUUGGUUAAAGUGGAUUGUGAACUUGUACUUAUUGUAUAUGUGUUAUUUAUUUGACUGGAUUGAGAAACUCUUGGAUUGUGUUACGAUAUCUUUAUGAAUGUUAAACUGGAAUAUUCUGUUUGAUUAAUAUGGUCUUCCUAAGCGCAGGUUUUGUAUUUGUGCUUAAAUAUUUUAUGUGGUGUCACUCGUCACCACUUUGAAUUAGGGUCGGUCGACGACGCUUGCUGAGUACACGUGGUUUCGUACUCACUCUUGCUUUUUCUGCACCCU
rnacentral:lncRNA from 1 species